rnacentral:rRNA from 1 species
ACGCUCGACACCUACGGGAGCAGCAGGUGGGGAAUAUUGCACAAUGGGGGAAACCCUGAUGCAGCGACGCCGCGUGGAGGAAGAAGGUCUUCGGAUUGUAAACUCCUGUUGUUGGGAAAAAGAGGAUGGUACCCAACAAGGAAGUGACGGCUAACUACGUGCCACAGCCGCGGUAAUCUGAGCGGGCUGGCAAGGC